rnacentral:lncRNA from 1 species
AGAGCCUAACAAACUUUUCCGCCUUCUUCUUGAUUUCGCGAGCUCCGAUUCACCAUGAGUGCUCCGAUCUCUCCUUUCCUCGUUGCUUCCUUCGUGUUUCUCUUGAUUCAGUUUCUUGAUUUCAUCACUUUUGUAUCGUUUUUCGUCGUCGUUGUCUUCUCUGAGCUUUGAUCUCGUCUCCAGUGAGAUUCGAGCUUUCAAUCUUUCGUUUCUGGUGUUACUGAGCUCCGAUCUUGCGUAUUUCGCGAAUCUGAUAAACCGAU